rnacentral:lncRNA from 1 species
CCGGCCUGCCCUCCUGGCUGGAGGAGGCGAGGUCGGGCCUUCUCUUCGGGGGCAGCAGGGAGGUCCGGAGGUAGUGCGUCCGCGUCGCAGUCCCCUGCCGCAUCCGUGACUCAGCGGCGGCGUCGCGGCGAGCCGCUGGGCAGGAGGGUGCUCAAGUGGCUUCCCGUGGAGCGCCGAUGGGUCGAGCACUCAUCCGCCAUCAUCGAGCCACAACAAGAGACUGUACAGGAUGAGGCGCUGAAGAUUUUGCCAUCUGGAGUGGUGAAAUAUCUCAGAAAUACAUGCUAUGAACAUUUGGCAACCUUAGAAUCAGAUAUCUUUGCUAGUUUGAUACAACAUAUCCUUGUAGGUGAUUGUUGA